rnacentral:lncRNA from 1 species
AAGAACCCGCUGGUGAAGCCGCCCUACUCGUAUAUCGCGCUCAUCACUAUGGCCAUCCUGCAGAGCCCCAAGAAGCGGCUGACGCUGAGCGAGAUCUGUGAGUUCAUCAGCGGCCGCUUCCCCUACUACCGGGAGAAGUUCCCCGCCUGGCAGAACAGCAUCCGCCACAACCUCUCGCUCAACGACUGCUUCGUCAAGAUCCCCCGCGAGCCCGGCAACCCGGGCAAGGGCAACUACUGGACGCUGGACCCGGAGUCCGCCGACAUGUUCGACAACGGCAGCUUCCUGCGCCGGAGGAAGCGCUUCAAGCGGCAGCC